rnacentral:rRNA from 1 species
UACGAAGGGGGCUAGCGUUGUUCGGAAUUACUGGGCGUAAAGCGCACGUAGGCGGAUUUGUAAGUCAGGGGUGAAAUCCCGGGGCUCAACCUCGGAACUGCCUUUGAUACUGCAAGUCUUGAGUCCGGAAGAGGCGAGUGGGAUUCCUGGUGUAGCGGUGGAAUGCGCAGAUAUCAGGAGGAACACCGAUAGCGAAGGCAGCUCGCUGGGACGUUACUGACACUGAGGCGCGAAAGCGUGGGGAGCGAACAGG